rnacentral:lncRNA from 1 species
CAGACUCAGUACCGGACCCUCCCCGAGGAAAGUCUUGGAGUGAUAGAGGCAGAGACACUUCCAGAACAUCAGGUGGUCUGGCUGGGCCCGGAGGGGUGCACAGGAGGGAGAACCCUGGCUGUCCACCCAGUAAUAUGCUGUGUGACCCUAAGCCAGGUACUUUCCUUUUCUGGGCAUCUUUUCCUUUGGCUGUGAAUUGUGAUGUGAAGUCAUUCCUUGCUUCCCUUCCCUCUCUGUCUCUGUCUGUCUCUCUCUCUCCUUGGUCCCCCUGCCCCCUCCCUGUCUGGUCCCCUCCCACGGACUCCAGGUCUCACUAUCAACUCCUCUCAGCUCGCCCUCCCACAGCUGAUAGCCUCUUGAGCUCUGAGCCCAGUGGGGGUAUUCUUUUCUGUUCCAGGUGCUGAGGUCACAGCUGAGAACAGGACAAAGUCCUCGCCUUCAGGGAUGUACAUUCUGAGGGGCGCGUGUUCUCGUUAGCAGAAAACUCAGGAAGACAGAUUAUUCAGGACCCGCCUGCCCUCCCCCGGAUUUUCUUUAAUAGUGAAAUGACAAAUAACGGAUGGGCACAGUAUGGAGAGGAAGGGACAGAGUCAAGAGACACUUCAUUCACUCAUUCAUUCAGUCAGUCAACAGACCGUGCUGAGUAUCUUCUUUCUUCCAGGGGGUGUCCAUCUCUGGGGAGCUGUCCUGGGCAUCGGUGUCCUCCUGCCUCAACUGUGGAUUGCUUUUAAGGACAGGGAAGCUGAGGCCUGGAGCGGGGCCUGGGUCUGAAGACCUUCUGCCAGCCUCGCCAGACCACUCCUGGAGCUCAGACUGGGUCAGAAGCCUCCUGUGUGGGGCGGAGCUGCGUUAUCUCUGCGUCGUCACCCUGGGUUGUCACUGGAGACUUUGGAGGGGCAGGUCCUUCCCCUUCUCACUCUGAGUCACACCCACCACAGUGCAGGCCCAGAAGAGGCAGGGGGUGAGCGUGGUCACUGAGUGAUGGAGGCAGCCGCCUGAGUCCACUGGGCUCCCAGCUCAGCCUUCCUGAAGCAAGAAGGCAACGGCUCCUUUAAAUCUCCGAGAUCAGCAAAAAAUGUUAAGAGCCUUUGCCACUUUAUUCUUAGCUCUGAGCCCAGCCUGGCCCUGCUGACCAAGGCCCUUCCCCCCAACUCCCUGGCUGUACUUCCUGAAAAAAGCACUCCUGAGAGGGGAAAGAGUCUGAAAUGCAGAGAAACUCCCCAGCAUUUCGGGUCCCCAUUCCGCCAAUGCCUUUGGCUUCUUGCAGGAGCUGUUCCUGCCCCCCACCCAGCCUCCCAAGGGGGCUCAGC